GGCACCAUAGUUGAAUAACAACAUUAAAUUGCAAAUUUAAAAAUGUACCUAAAUACUGGCGCCU
rnacentral:tRNA from 1 species